rnacentral:lncRNA from 1 species
UAUCCAUCCGCUGCUCCCUCCAGCGCGGCUCUUCCUGACCUCCCCAUCCUGUCCCACGCCCGGGCCCCUAGCCUCCCACCAGUCCCAAAUAUUAUAGCAACGCUAGAAAUCUGUUGGUGGUCGCCACGUUUUAGUGUCCGCGAGGGCCUCCUGAGGCAGCCAGGGGCCAACACGCAAGUCCGGGCUGGGUCUCGUCGUGGCCCCGCCCACCUCUGGGUCGGAACUACGGUGGGCCUGGGAGGGGGCGUCCAGCCUUUCGCGCCGUAUCCCUCCGCCUCCCCUUUCCCGGCACCCUCGCGGCGGGCGGUUCUUGCUGCAUCCUGCGCGGCCCCUGCCCUAUUUGGUGUAGAGGCGUUGGGGGGCGGGACGCGUCUUUGCUGUUGGGAAUGCGGGGAAAGCGGUGGGAAUCUAAGUAAGGAGCCGCCAGAGGAGAGCUGAGGAGAGGAGGGGGAGGCCGACGACCUGGGCCUUGGGCCUUUGAAGGAUGUGACUCUUCCCUAACUAGAGGACUCUUCUUUGGUGGGAAGGAUAGCAUCUCCUGAGAACCCCUGCUGUAUGAGCAGGCUGACAUAAAUGGUGAAUGAGGAACUCAGAGUGGUUUUCCAGAUGGGAAUCACAUUGCUCUCUGUCCCUGAUAUCUUGCUGGAGGCAGGGCUACUCAGUCCCUCUUUGCCAGAUUGAUAUUAGAAAAGCAGUUUCUAUUGAGCCCCCAAAUGAAGAGAGAGUGCAGAUGAAAAGGAGGCAGGACUCACAAGCCCUUGAUCUUCAUACCAGACCCAUUAGCACCUACAGGACCUUGUACCGGGAUUUAGUCUGCGCUAUCAGCUUCUUCAAAGAGAGAGGUUGUUGAGUGAGUACUCACAAGGGCACAAUACUCAAAACAUGUAAAAUUACAAAUGUUUAAGUCCUAGAAGGUAUAAAGAAGAUAGCUGGGUGUCCCUUGGGGGAGUGUAAGAGUUAGAAUGCCAUUCCUGUUCC